UUUUAUGAAUGAGCAAAGAAAGUGGUUUCUUAAAGAUGGAAUCCACUCCUGGUGAAGAUGAUAUGAA
rnacentral:pre_miRNA from 1 species